rnacentral:misc_RNA from 1 species
GAAGAACAGCCGAUUCCACUUCCGAUCUGCUCCCUCUCCUCCGUCGCAACAAGCACUCAGAUCUCACCCCGAGAUCCCGCAGGGUGCAUCCGCCUCUAAAUGGCAGUCACGGGUAACCAGAGCCCAUCGUUUGGUGAAAUUAGCUGUGGUUCUUUACUGCAGAAAUUGCAGCUAAUAUGGGAUGAGGUUGGUGAGAGUGAU